GCCAGCAGCUAGAUCUCUGCCACUCUCACAUGGUUGCCAACUGAAGCUAAGCAGGGCUGCGCCUGGUCAGUACCUGGAUGGGAGACCACAUGGGAAAGCUAUGAUGCUGCCGGAA
ensembl:rRNA 5S_rRNA 5S ribosomal RNA